UACGUAGGGUGCAAGCGUUGUCCGGAAUUAUUGGGCGUAAAGAGCGUGUAGGCGGCCUGAAAGGUCAGCUGUGAAAACUCGAGGCUCAACCUCGAGACGUCGGUUGAAACCAUCUGGCUAGAGUCCGGAAGAGGAGAGUGGAAUUCCCGGUGUAGCGGUGAAAUGCGCAGAUAUCGGGAGGAACACCAAUUGCGAAGGCAGCUCGCUGGGACGUCACUGACGCUGAGACGCGAAAGCGUGGGGAGCAAACAGG
rnacentral:rRNA from 1 species